GACGAACGCUGGCGGCGUGCCUAAUACAUGCAAGUAGAACGCUGAAGGAGGAGCUUGCUCUUCUGGAUGAGUUGCGAACGGGUGAGUAACGCGUAGGUAACCUGCCUGGUAGCGGGGGAUAACUAUUGGAAACGAUAGCUAAUACCGCAUAACAGUAGAUGUUGCAUGACAUUUGCUUAAAAGGUGCAAUUGCAUCACUACCAGAUGGACCUGCGUUGUAUUAGCUAGUUGGUGGGGUAACGGCUCACCAAGGCGACGAUACAUAGCCGACCUGCGAGGGUGAUCGGCCACACUGGGACUGAGACACGGCCCAGACUCCUACGGGAGGCAGCAGUAGGGAAUCGUCGGCAAUGGACGGAAGUCUGACCGAGCAACGCCGCGUGAGUGAAGAAGGUUGUCGGAUCGUAAAGCUCGGUUGUAAGGGAAGAACGAGUGUGAGAGUGGAAAGUUCACACUGUGACGGUAUCUUACCAGAAAGGGACGGCUAACUACGUG
rnacentral:rRNA from 1 species